UGUUGAGCAAGUUUGGAUAGCCCUGAAAUUCGGUUUAACGUCAGGCCAACGGCCUAAGCUAACAACCUCCGAAGGCGGAGGGCUGUCGAGUUGCGUAAGGUCAUUCCUUAACUUAUGACGCUCUUGCACGUACUCAGGGCAAUCAGAAAGCACACGACCUUUUGCUAAUGUCGCUAAAGAAGGCAAGUAAAACAUAUUGCUUUAGAAGCUUCUCUGACGCUUUCUACGAUACACCAGUCCUCUACGGCGCCGCAAGUCAACGAUAAAAAGAUCGUUAUAUUCAUGUCCCAUCGUAAUCUAGAGUUACUCGAUUAGCAUUUGUUACUUCCGAAAGCUUCAGGAGAGACGUGACACAUAAAUCACCUCUGUAUAUCAAUGCUUAUAUUUUUCUCGGCUAUGUGAAAGUGCAAAUUUUUUUAAAGAGCUCCGUGACACUCACUGCCUUUUCCUCUAAAGCGCAUACGCGUGUCGCCUGCCGUGCCCGCUUCACAAAGAAAGCCGUCUCAUCCGCAGUCGUGCCAUCAAUACAUCUUGCAGGGCUUGAAGCGGCGGGAACUACAUAUAUGGCGUCGACGUCGUUUCACACGUGCUGUCUUAUCUGGACUGUGCUGUGCUGUAUGCAAGUACACGCAUUUGAAGCCGGCAAAGUGGCCUUUUUAAGGUAUACCUGUCAGUACGGACAGUAUUUCAUUCAAACGCAGUAUAUAUUACAAGAUGAGUGCAAACGAGCGACAUGCUAUAUAUCUGAUAGGAAGCUUACCAUUGAACAGUAAGCG
rnacentral:lncRNA from 1 species